UAAAAGGCGUUGAAAAGGACAUGAAUGAUUAUCAUUUUUUCUUUACAGAGAAAAGAGCAUCUGCUGAGAGCUCUUAAGAAAAAGAAAUCGUUUACCACCUUUGAGCUUUUGCAGGGAAAUAAAUAAUUAGAGUAUCUGCAAACGGAAUAAACCGUUAUCAAAUCUUUGAGCAUAGAGCCGUUUACGCUUUAUGGAACUUAGGGUGGAACCACGACCGCACUCGUCCCUUAU
rfam:Bacillus endophyticus strain Hbe603, complete genome.